UCAGGCAAAGGUAUAUUUACAGAUACUUUUUAAAAUUUGUUUGAGUUGAGGUAGAGUAAAUAUCUGUAUUCUCCUUUGCCUGCAG
rnacentral:pre_miRNA from 1 species